CGGGCGCACCUUUUCUCUCUCUCCUGCCACAAAGUGAACGCUCCGCCGCCUAGAUAACCGCCAACUCCCUACUCCACCCCCGCCCGCACCCCCUCCUCCCACUCUCCCGUUCCCAGGUUGGCUGGGUAGAACACAGUUCUAACAAGGCCAAGUUUUUUUGGAUUUAGACCUCUUUCCAGGUCAAUAUCCAGCCUCUCCAUCCGGUUUCAGCUCUUCCU
rnacentral:lncRNA from 1 species